rnacentral:tRNA from 1 species
GCAGCGGUAGUUCAGUGGGUUAGAAUACCGGCCUGUCACGCCGGGGGUCGCGGGUUCGAGUCCCGUCCGCUGCGCCA